UUGGGAAGGAAACCUGUGGUAUUUUUGUUGUUAGCACGUUGGCUUAGCGGUUAAGCUAGAGGAGCUAUGGGACCAUGUUACGCCUCCAUUCCAUCAGUUCCAGUUUUCCACUAGCAUGUUCACUCCUGUCCUUGGAUGAGUGCAGAGAUGUGUGCUUGGUGUGCUUGUUGCCCAUGGUCACAUGCGCCAUGAAUGCGAGAAGAUCAUCAGCAGGCUUCCGGUGUCAGGAGCGACUGCUGCUCUCCCUGUGGAAAUAAUGCAGGGCUCUCAAGUGUCACGCAUUGAGCGUGACAGUCACUCAUUUCGGUCUUUAAUCACGCACUCCCGCCACACAUCGUAUUUCUCACGCUGAAAAAAAAACUCUAGGCUAUUUAAUGUGCCGCAGCGCGCUAACAUGACCUGGCCGCGCUGCCCUCACCAUGGAGGAAUCAAGCACGUCUCCCCGAAUCCCCUGGAGUUCUGCCGUGAGGUGCCAAUUAUCAGCCAAUCAAAAAAAAAAAAAAUAGCCAAUCAGAAAAAAAGUGUCUUUUGUAUCUGCAGUAAGGGGCAUCAGGCCAAACAGCAGGCACUGAAGUCAACCAGCGCAGUCAAAAACUUUUACUUGCCAGUGACUGCAGAGAUGAGUGUGCAAGAGGUCAAGGUACAUUUAAAUGCAUAAGGUUGACUACAAUGUUCAUGAAUACCAUUUUUCC
ensembl:lncRNA